CAGCUCUGUCGUCCACAGGUCACCAAAGGCUGUCAAACUACACAUCCUGAAUGCUCUUGCCGUCCUGUAUCCAAUCCCCAAGUUCGUUUCUAUAAAUUCGUAGGCGGUUUUCCGCAAUUUCCAAUUUAAGAAACGGUGACCCAGGGUUUUCCAUCCAACUUCCGGCCAAUAUCGCAGUAAUUGGACCUCGACCUAAGACGUAGAAAUGAUCCUCUUCUCGUGGGCUGUUCUCCAAUGUUGAUAGUUGAAGCAUGUCUAUAACAUGGUGUGGGAUUGAACUCUGUAGAACCUUGUAAUGUUGUGAAUAGGCAAUGAAUGAACUCUGUUGCAUAGGAAUUAUAAAAUUCAAGGAAAGAGUGUGAAAAUGUGGUACGAAAUUA